AACGAACGCUGGCGGCAUGCCUAACACAUGCAAGUCGAACGAGACCUUCGGGUCUAUUUGCGCACGGGUGCGUAACGCGUGGUAACCUGCCCUUAGGUUCGGAAUAACUCCCUGAAAGGGGUGCUAAUACCGCAUAAUGUCUUCGGACCAAAGAUUUAUCGCCUUUGGAUGGGCCCGCGUUGGAUUAGCUAGUUGGUAGGGUAAAAGCAUACCAAGGCGACGAUCCAUAGCUGGUCGGAGAGGAGGAUCAGCCACACUGGGACUGAGACACGGCCCAGACUCCUACGGGAGGGAGCAGUGGGGAAUAUUGGACAAGGGGCGAAAGCCUGAUACAGCAAUGCCGCGUGAGUGAUGAAGGCCGUAGGGUUGUAAAGCUCUUUUACACGGGAUGAUAAUGACAGUACCGGGAGAAUAAGCACCGGCUAACUACGUG
rnacentral:rRNA from 1 species